rnacentral:misc_RNA from 1 species
GUGAAUCAUCGAAUCUUUGAACGCAUCUUGCGCUCCUUGGUAUUCCAUGGAGCAUGCCUGUUUGAGUGUAACGUAAACCCUCACCCUUGCGAUGUCAAAUUCGCCUGUGGUGGAUUUGGACUGUGCCGUAAUUGGCUCGUCCUGAAAUGCAUUAGCUUGCGCUUUUUAGUGUGCUUGGCAUGGUGUGAUAACUAUCUGCGCCGUCGCCUUAAGCCUCUUCUGUGUGUGUACCUUCCAAUAGUCCCUCAUGGACACAUAUUUUAAGCUUUGGCCUCAAUCAGGUAGGACUACCUGCUGAAC